UACGGGGGGGGCAAGCGUUGUUCGGAAUUACUGGGCGUAAAGGGCGCGUAGGCGGUCCGUUAAGUUAGAUGUGAAAACUCUGGGCUCAACCCAGAGCCUGCAUCUAAUACUGACGGGCUAGAGUUCUGGAGGGGGUAGCGGAAUUCCUGGUGUAGCGGUGAAAUGCGUAGAUAUCGGAAGGAACAUCAGUGGCGAAAGCGACUUCCUGGACCAAUACUGACGCUCAUGUGCGAAAGCCAGGGGAGCAAACGGG
rnacentral:rRNA from 1 species